CCUACGGGAGGCAGCAGUAGGGAAUAUUGGGCAAUGGGCGCAAGCCUGACCCAGCAACGCCGCGUGAACGAAGAAGGCCUUCGGGUUGUAAACUUCUGUUGUCAGGGACGAAGAAAGUUACGGUACCUGAAGAAUAAGCCACGGCUAACUACGUACCAGCAGCCGCGGAAAUACGUAGGGGGCAAGCGUUAUCCGGAUUUAUUGGGUGUAAAGGGCGUGUAGGCGGGGGUGCAAGUCAGACGGGAAAGUCCAGGGCUCAACCCUGGGACUGCGUUUGAUACUGUGCGUCUUGAGUGCUGGAGAGGCAAGCGGAAUUCCGUGUGUAGCGGUGAAAUGCGUAGAUAUACGGAGGAACACCAGUGGCGAAGGCGGAUUGCUGGACAGUAACUGACGCUGAGGCGCGAAAGCGUGGGGAGCAAACAGGAUUAGAUACCCUUGUAGUC
rnacentral:rRNA from 1 species